rnacentral:misc_RNA from 1 species
UACCGAGUUUCGUGCCCGUAUGGGUAGAUCUCCCACCCUGUGUUAUUAUUACCUUGUUGCUUUGGCGGGCCGCCAGGCUUCGGUCAGGCUAUCGGCUUCGGCUGGUAAGCGCCCGCCAGAGGACCCAAUAUCCUGAUUAUCAGUGUCGUCUGAGUACUAUAUAAUAGUUAAAACUUUCAACAACGGAUCUCUUGGUUCUGGCAUCGAUGAAGAACGCAGCGAAAUGCGAUAAGUAAUGUGAAUUGCAGAAUUCAGUGAAUCAUCGAAUCUUUGAACGCACAUUGCGCCCCUUGGUAUUCCGAGGGGCAUGCCUGUUCGAGCGUCAUUACAACCCUCAAGCAUUGCUUGGUAUUAGGCUCCGCUGCUCACCCAGCGGGCCUUAAAAUCAGUGGCGGUGCCGUCGGGCCCUGAGCGUAGUAAAUCUCCUCGCUAUAGGGACCCGGUGGACGCUGGCCAUCAACCCCCCUUACUUUCUAAGU